rnacentral:lncRNA from 1 species
CGGGGCUUCACUGUGACCCGUGCCCUGCAGGUGUACCCGUCAGCUCCGCGGCCGGAGCUCCAGCAGCCCGCGCUUUGACUCGUUCUGCAUUUUUUGCAAGAAAGCGUACUUACGACCAACCGAACUGGUUUGGAGUCGGGCUGGCUUUCACCACCAGUGCUGCCCUGUGGGCUUUUGUUGACCAAAUGUUUGAUGAGAAAUACCGUCCUGUGAAUUAAGGAGUACGGCGGACCUAUCUGAAAGUAUUUAAACCUUAUCUGUUCAUACAUUUCACAUGCAAGCCUAUGAAAUAAAGUGUGAAAGAAGCUUCUGAA